rnacentral:rRNA from 1 species
UACUAGAGUAGCACUCGCAUAUCAAUAAGCGGAGGAAAAGAAACUAACAAGGAUUCCCCUAGUAACGGCGAGUGAAGCGGGAAGAGCUCAAAUUUGAAAUCUUAAAGGGUUUCCCUUUACGAAUUGUAGUUUAAAGAAGUGUUUUCUGUUGAGGUUUUGGUAAAAGUUCUUUGGAAUAGGACAUCAUAGAGGGUGAGAAUCCCGUAUUUGACCUUUACUUUCAACUUUGUGAUACACUUUCAAAGAGUCGGAUUGUUUGGGAAUGCAGUCCAAAAUGGGUGGUAAAUUUCAUCCUAAAGCUAAAUAUUGGCGAGAGACCGAUAGCGAACAAGUACCGUGAGGGAAAGAUGAAAAGAACUUUGAAAAGAGAGUUAAACAGUACGUGAAAUUGUCAAAAGGGAAGCGUUUGACACCAGUGUUGUUUUUCUGAAAAUCAAUUAAAGAACUGUUUAUGCUAAGCUGUUUAGACUUUAUCAGCUAUCUGUUUAGUUUUGAGCUUUUCUUUAAUGCACUUUUCAGUUAACAAGUCAACAUCAAUUUCUUUUGCUGUAAAAAAGCUUGAGGAAGGUGGCUUGAGAUUCGUCUUAAGUGUUUAUAGCCUCUUGCCUAUGCAGUCGGAGAGAUUGAGGUCUGCAGCGUAGAUCCUUCGGGGCUAAAUGCAUUUGUGCUAAGUUAUAGCAUUUUCAUAGACAACUUGUUGACUAUGAUUUGUCUUGUAGCUUACUCGCUUAUGUUAUUUUACCUACGCUUAGGAUGUUGAUCUACAGAGCGAGAGU